CAAGGAAUAGUUUAAUUAAAAAUUUUAAUUUUGGAGAUUAAAGAUAAAGGUGUCUUUUUCCUUGA
rnacentral:tRNA from 1 species